rnacentral:rRNA from 1 species
GUGGGGAAUUUUGGACAAUGGGCGAAAGCCUGAUCCAGCCAUGCCGCGUGCAGGAUGAAGGCCUUCGGGUUGUAAACUGCUUUUGUACGGAACGAAACGGUCCGGGUUAAUACCCUGGGCUAAUGACGGUACCGUAAGAAUAAGCACCGGCUAACUUCGUGCCAGCAGCCGCGGUAAUACGAAGGGUGCAAGCGUUAAUCGGAAUUACUGGGCGUAAAGCGCGCGUAGGUGGUUUUGUAAGUUGGAGGUGAAAUCCCCGGGCUCAACCUGGGAACUGCCUCCAAAACUGCAUGACUAGAGUACGGUAGAGGGUAGUGGAAUGUCCUGUGUAGCGGUGAAAUGCGUAGAUAUAGGAAGGAACACCAGUGGCGAAGGCGACUACCUGGACUGAUACUGACACUGAGGUGCGAAAGCGUGGGGAGCAAACAGGAUUAGAAACCCUAGUAGUCC